CAAGCGUCUGGGGUAAGGAGUCAACUGCCAUCAGCCCCACUGAUGAGUCUAGGCAGUGACUCCGAGACGAAACGCAAA
rnacentral:hammerhead_ribozyme from 17 species